GACGAACGCUGGCGGCGUGCUUAACACAUGCAAGUCGAACGGAAAGGCCCUGCUUUUGUGGGGUGCUCGAGUGGCGAACGGGUGAGUAACACGUGAGUUACCUGCCCUUGACUUUGGGAUAACUUCAGGAAACUGGGGCUAAUACCGGAUAGGAGCUCCUGCUGCAUGGUGGGGGUUGGAAAGUUUCGGCGGUUGGGGAUGGACUCGCGGCUUAUCAGCUUGUUGGUGGGGUAGUGGCUUACCAAGGCUUUGACGGGUAGCCGGCCUGAGAGGGUGACCGGCCACAUUGGGACUGGAAUACGGCCCAGACUCCUACGGGAGGCAGCAGUGGGGAAUAUUGCACAGUGGGCGGAAGCCUGAUGCAGCAACGCCGCGUGCGGGAAGACGGCCUUCGGGUAGUAAACCGCUUUCGCCUGUGACGAAGCGUGAGUGACGGUAAUGGGUAAAGAAGCACCGGCUAACUACGUG
rnacentral:rRNA from 1 species